rnacentral:sRNA from 1 species
UGGCGUCUCACUGAGUGUGAUGUCCUCAAGGUGCAUCCACACUAUGGCUUGGGUCAGAGCCUGGUUCCUGUUCGUGGCCGGGUCAUGUUCCAGUGCGUGGACAGGUCACCCUCUGCUGACCCCGUUCCUCCGCGGAUGGGCCACACUGUGCUGACCCACUCAUCUGUUGAUAGCCACUUGGGCCGCUUCCCCUUUGUGGUGACACAGUGUGCCGCUUUGAACAUCUGUGCAGUGCGCGUGGAUGUGUGUGUUCCCUCUCGGAUGUGCACAUGGGCGUGGGGUUGCUGCGUCAAGUGUGGUGUCCUCACUGGUUUGCCCUGCAUGGCUCCCUGGUCGGUGGGGACCGUUCCCCGGGCUGCUUUGGCGCUUGCCGCCAACCAGAGACGGCCCCAGCCUCUGCUGGGCCUGGUCUGGCCUGAGCUUGUCCCGGUAGGCCUGAGGCGUGGCUGGUCCUGCCAUCCCACCCAGGCACGUGGGACCCUCAGCCUGAGCAGCCCUGCUGUGAUCCUGACCUCACACUGUGAUGGGGGCGUGCUGGAGCAGCCUGGGCACUGAAGCCGACCCUCCUCUUGCUCCAGAAAUCUCCCAAGCCUAAGAAGAAGCAGCACAGGAAGGAGAAGGAGGAGCGGACCAAAGGCAAGAAGAAGUCCAAGAAGCAGCCUCCAGGCAGCGAGGAGGCGGCGGGGGAGCCGGUGCAGAAUGGCGCGCCAGAGGAGGAGCAGCUCCCGGUGAGGGGUACUUCAGCGCCCCCGCCCCGCGCCGGGGUUCCUGGCGGGCUGUGCGCUGCUCCCCACUCCUGCAGCCUCCAUGCGGGAGAGAACUGAGCAGAUUCGAGAAGAAGCCGAGCCUGGCGGGCGCAGGGGACUGGCCCUGGCCCGCAGCCCCACGUUAGGCACCCCCGUGGUGGGCUGUGUGGUCCUGGGAGCCGGGGAUCCCUCAUUGGCUCCUUUGAAGCCCCUUGCCCCAAGCAUUCUUGGAGUCGUGGCAUUCAACCUGGGGUAUUGGGCCGUACUGGAGUCUUCGUUGAGACGGAGCUCGGGGCCCCCAAGGCUGAUGCGCCUUUUCUAUUUCCAGCCUGAGUCCAGCUACUCCCUCCUCGCUGAAAAUUCCUAUGUUAAAAUGGUGAGUGGCAGCCGCUCCCGGGGGCAGGGUGGGCCAGCCCACACUCUUUGGCAUGGGAUCGCGUGGAACCCGGGCAGCCCCCACAGCUCCCGGAUGUUGGUAUACCCAGGGCCUGUGAUCCCUGGCAGGGGCGUUGCUUGGGCAGCACCUCUGGCUUGGGGUAAGGUUGGAGACAUGCCCUGAGACUUGGACUGGCAGGAGGGUCCCCGCCAUGCACUCAAAGAGCAGCCAUAGGAGGCGCUUGGGCUGCGGCUAGGGGGCGCCCCUCUCCGUGCCUUCCUGUGCCUGUGGGACCCCUGCUGCCUCUGUGGUCCUUAAGAGACAGGUGGCUGUGCCUGUUCCCUGUGGCGGGCCCGCCUGCCCUGCUAACACUGGCCAUGCCCUGCAGACCUGUGACAUCCGGGGCAGUCUGCAGGAGGACAGCCAGGUCACUGUGGCCAUCGUGCUGGAGAACAGGAGCAGCAGCAUCCUCAAGGGCAUGGAGCUCAGCGUGCUGGACUCACUCAAUGCCAGGAUGGCCCGGCCGCAGGGCUCCUCUGUCCACGAUGGCGUCCCCGUGCCUUUCCAGCUGCCCCCAGGCGUCUCCAACGAAGCCCAGUAUGUGUUCACCAUCCAGAGCAUCGUCAUGGCGCAGAAGCUCAAGGGGACCCUGUCCUUCAUUGCCAAGAAUGACGAGGGUGCGACCCACGAGAAGCUGGACUUCAGGCUGCACUUCAGCUGCAGCUCCUACUUGAUCACCACUCCCUGCUACAGUGACGCCUUUGCUAAGUUGCUGGAGUCUGGGGACUUGAGCAUGAGCUCAAUCAAAGUCGAUGGCAUUCGGAUGUCCUUCCAGAAUCUUCUGGCGAAGAUCUGUUUUCACCACCAUUUUUCUGUUGUGGAGCGAGUGGACUCCUGCGCCUCCAUGUACAGCCGCUCCAUCCAGGGCCACCAUGUCUGCCUCCUGGUGAAAAAGGGUGAGAACUCUGUCUCAGUCGACGGGAAGUGCAGUGACUCCACGCUACUGAGCAACUUGUUAGAAGAGAUGAAGGCGACGCUGGCCAAGUGUUGAGAGCUGCCUGCGAGCCCCGCACCACCCCGCGGAGCACGUACCCAGGGACCGCAGCCCUGACGUGUCUCGCCUCUCCUCGGUCGUGUGUACUGUACCCAAGCCUGAGUGUUAAUUUAACUCCAUGUUGUCCGCCGUGUAGACAUCCGAGGUCAUUUGUUGCGUUGAAUUAUCUGACCAUCCUUUUUUACUGUGACUCUUCCCAUUCUCUUUGGCAAGAAGUCCCCUUCUCGCCCCCAAACCAGCAAGGGACUCCCCCACCUGGGUCUGUGCCCUGCCCCGCGCUGGGGGCCGAGUCCUUGAAUGUGGCUUCAGGGGCUCCUGUCCUGGGCCAGGGCCUGAUGGGCACCACGUGAGGGGCACUUGGUGGACAGGGCGGGGCUGACGUGGCGUCCUCUGGGGUCGCCUGCUUUUGACCCAAAGGUCCUGACGGUUGCGUCCGGGGGAGGGGAAGGAAGGGCCGCUGUCGCCAAGGUUUUCUCUCCCAGAACCCACAGUGGGAAAGCGGUCUUGCCAGGCGUUGUCCAUCGUCAGUGUGCUCGUGGGCUGGUGGCUGGGUCUUGGGAUCCCAGGCCACGCGCCAGCCAGGCUGUGGGCAGGGCGGGGCCAGGGACGCCAAAGAGAGGUUGCAGUCAGAACCGUGGACGGGGUGGGUUGAGGCCUCUCUGCCACCCGUCUUCCUGGUCAGCAGAAGUGCAUCUCGGCUUGGGUUUGGGGUGGGCGUGUGUGGUCCGCAUCCCCUGCUUGCCACUGUGCGCACCAAGGUUUCCCCACAUCCUUCCCAGCACCCUUAGGAAGGCCCGGGCAGGGCCUGGAAGCAGCGGACCUGGGCUGUUCUGUGUUGAAGGAGUGUGCCCAGUGCCCUUGGGCAGGACCUGUGAGAGCCACCUCACAGGCAGAGCCCCCACCAGGCAGGGCAAGGAGACUCCGCUCACUCCCCACGGCCAACGUGGGCACAGGACUGACCCUUCUUCAGAGAUAAUGACAUUUUAUCUUUUCCUUUGGAUGAAAACUGUCACUUUAGCAUGUAAUCCAUUACAGAAUCCCAUGCAGUGAUUCCAGGAUUUGAAAUUGUAUGAUGUGUUACAUAAGAAUGUAUUUGCUAUCGACAUUCCCGUAUAAAGAGAGAGACAUAUCACGCUGCUGUCAUGAUUUUGUGUCAAGAUGAUCCAAUAAAGUUGUAAAACAGGCAUUUCC